UACGUAGGGGGCAAGCGUUGUCCGGAUUUAUUGGGCGUAAAGAGCUCGUAGGCGGUUCGGCAAGUCGGAUGUGAAAUCUCCACGCUUAACGUGGAGGGGCCAUUCGAAACUGCCGUGACUCGAGUCCGGUAGGGGAGUGUGGAAUUCCCGGUGUAGCGGUGAAAUGCGUAGAUAUCGAGAGGAACACCUGCGGCGAAGGCGGGGUAGCUGGGGCCGACACUGACGCUGAAGGAGCGAAAGUGUGGGGGAGCGAACAGG
rnacentral:rRNA from 1 species